UGGGGAAUUUUGGACAAUGGGGGCAACCCUGAUCCAGCCAUGCCGCGUGCGGGAAGAAGGCCUUCGGGUUGUAAACCGCUUUUAGCCGGGAAGAAAAGGCAGGGGCUAACACUCUCUGUUCUUGACGGUACCGGCGGAAUAAGCACCGGCUAACUACGUGCCAGCAGCCGCGGUAAUACGUAGGGUGCGAGCGUUAAUCGGAAUUACUGGGCGUAAAGCGUGCGCAGGCGGUUCGUUAAGUCUGAUGUGAAAGCCCCGGGCUCAACCUGGGAAUGGCAUUGGAUACUGGCGGGCUUGAGUGUGGCAGAGGGGGGUGGAAUUCCGCGUGUAGCAGUGAAAUGCGUAGAGAUGCGGAGGAACACCGAUGGCGAAGGCAGCCCCCUGGGCUGACACUGACGCUCA
rnacentral:rRNA from 1 species